UACGGAGGGUGCAAGCGUUAUCCGGAUUUACUGGGUUUAAAGGGUGUGUAGGCGGACUUUUAAGUCCGUGGUGAAAUCUCCGGGCUCAACCCGGAAACUGCCAUGGAUACUAUUGGUCUUGAAUGUUGUGGAGGUGGGCGGAACGGGUCAUGUAGCGGUGAAAUGCUUAGAGAUGACCCGGAACACCGAUUGCGAAGGCAGCCCACUACGCAACUAUUGACGCUGAGGCACGAAAGCGUGGGGAGCGAACAGG
rnacentral:rRNA from 1 species